rnacentral:rRNA from 1 species
GAUGAACGCUGGCGGCGUGCUUAACACAUGCAAGUCGAACGAUGAACCAGGUGCUUGCAUCUGGGGAUUAGUGGCGAACGGGUGAGUAACACGUGAGCAACCUGCCCCUGACUCUGGGAUAAGCGCUGGAAACGGCGUCUAAUACUGGAUAUGUCCCGUCACCGCAUGGUGUGCGGGUGGAAAGAUUUUUCGGUUGGGGAUGGGCUCGCGGCCUAUCAGCUUGUUGGUGAGGUAAUGGCUCACCAAGGCGUCGACGGGUAGCCGGCCUGAGAGGGUGACCGGCCACACUGGGACUGGGACACGGCCCAGACUCCUACGGGAGGCAGCAGUGGGGAAUAUUGCACAAUGGGCGGAAGCCUGAUGCAGCAACGCCGCGUGAGGGAUAACGGCCUUCGGGUUGUAAACCUCUUUUAGCAGGGAAGAAGCGAGAGUGACGGUACCUGCAGAAAAAGCACCGGCUAACUACGUGCCAGCAGCCGCAGUAAAAC